CUUCCGCUUAUACCACAGAGAUUUUCCAACAUUACAGUGUUGUGUUAAAUUGCCCCGUGUGUGUGUGUGUGUGUGUGUGUGUGUGUGUGUGUGUGGGGGACCCUGUGAUGGACCAGCAUCCUGUACAGGGUGUGUUCCUGCCUCACGCCCAUAAUAGACUUCGAGUGCACCCUGACACUGACUUCGAUAAUGCGCUUCCUGAUGAUGAAUUAAUGACUUAUGACAACCACCCGAAUUAAUAAUUCUGUCUCUCUCUGUGUCUGUCUCUCUUUCUCUAGCUCGUUCUGUCUCUCUCUGUCUCCCUCUGUCUCUGUGUGUCUCUCUCUUGCUCUGUGUCUGUCUCUCUCUUUCUCUAGCUCUUUCUGUCUCUCUGUCUCCCUCUGUCUCUGUCUCUCUCGCUCUCUCUCUGUGUCUCUCUCUGUGUGUCUCUCUCUCUCGCUCUGUGUCUGUGUCUCUCUUUCUCUAGCUCUUUCUGUCUCUCUCUGUCUCCCUCUGUCUCUGUGUGUCUCUCUCUCACUCUGUGUCUGUGUCUCUCUUUCUCUAGCUCUUUCUGUCUCUCUCUGUCUCCCUCUGUCUCUGUGUCUCUCUCUCUCGCUCUGUGUCUCUUUCUCUAGCUCUUUCUGUCUCUCUCUGUCUCCCUCUGUGUCUGUGUGUCUCUCUCUCGCUCUGUGUCUCUCUAGCUCUCUCUGUCUCUCUCUGUCUCCCUCUGUCUCUGUGUCUCUCUCUCUCGCUCUGUGUCUGUGUCUCUCUUUCUCUAGCUCUUUCUGUCUCUCUCUGUCUCCCUCUGUCUCUGUGUCUCUUUCUGUCUCUCUCUGUCUCCCUCUGUGUCUGUGUCUCUCUCUCUCGCUCUGUGUCUCUUUCUCUAGCUCUUUCUGUCUCUCUCUGUCUCCCUCUGUGUCUGUGUGUCUCUCUCUCGCUCUGUGUCUGUGUCUCCUCUUUCUCUAGCUCUUUCUGUCUCCCUCUGUCUCUGUGUCUCUCUCGCUCUCUCUCUGUGUCUCUCUCUCACUCACUCUCUCUAUCUUUUUCUCUCUCUCGCUGUCUCCCUUUGUCUCUCUCUCUCUCUCUCUGUCUCUCUCUCUCUCUGUCUGUCUCCCUCUCUCUCUCUCUCUCUCUCUCUCUCUCUCUCUCUCUCUCUCUCUCUCUCUCUCUCUCUCUCUCUCUCUCUCUCUCUCUUU
ensembl:lncRNA